CUAAGAAAUAUCUAGUACAAGAAAUGAAGAGAAUAUUCUUAGUCGUAUCUAAGAAAAGAAAUGCUUGAAAAGGUACGCGUUCUGGAAGUAUCAGUGACACCAACAGCUUACUAUGAGUCACCAAUGUAGUCACCAAUCUAGUCAGCAAUGUAUUUAUAAACAGGAGGAAAUAAAUUAAGAAGACAAUGUUUUCACUUUGUGUUUUUAUGUACAACCUAAUAAAUCUUUAAUCUUCGGAAUCGAA
rnacentral:sRNA from 1 species